rnacentral:rRNA from 1 species
GACGAACGCUGGCGGCGUGCUUAACACAUGCAAGUCGAACGGAAAGGCCCUGCUUUUGUGGGGUGCUCGAGUGGCGAACGGGUGAGUAACACGUGAGUAACCUGCCCUUGACUUUGGGAUAACUUCAGGAAACUGGGGCUAAUACCGGAUAGGAGCUCCUGCUGCAUGAUGGGGGUUGGAAAGUUUCGGCGGUUGGGGAUGGACUCGCGGCUCAUCAGCUUGUUGGUGGGGUAGUGGCUUACCAAGGCUUUGACGGGUAGCCGGCCUGAGAGGGUGACCGGCCACAUUGGGACUGAGAUACGGCCCAGACUCCUACGGGAGGCAGCAGUGGGGAAUAUUGCACAAUGGGCGGAAGCCUGAUGCAGCAACGCCGCGUGCGGGAUGACGGCCUUCGGGUUGUAAACCGCUUUCGCCUGUGACGAAGCGUGAGUGACGGUAAUGGGUAAAGAAGCACCGGCUAACUACGUG